GAUGAACGCUGGCGGCGUGCUUAACACAUGCAAGUCGAACGGUUAAACCGCCUUCGGGCGGAUAUAGAGUGGCGAACGGGUGAGUAACACGUGACCAACCUGCCCACCGCUCCGGGAUAACGCGGGGAAACCCGCGCUAAUACCGGGUACUCCGGCAACGGCGCAUGCCGAUGCCGGGAAAGCAUCAGCGGCGGUGGAUGGGGUCGCGGCCCAUCAGGUAGUUAGGGGGGUAACGGCCCACCAAGCUUACGACGGGUAGCCGGGCUGAGAGGCUGAUCGGCCACAUUGGGACUGAGACACGGCCCAG
rnacentral:rRNA from 1 species